CAACCCUAAGUCCCCUGUGGACUCGGUGUUGGGGACCGGCGAGACAGCCGCGGAUCUUCUUCCGCGGCGAGUCGCCGCCCCCUAAAUGACUUGGCGGCCUCGUCGUGGCCCUCCUCUGCGUAGUAUAGCACACCUCGCAACAGGAGCCCGGCGAAUGGCCACUGCCGUAAAACCCCCCAACUUUUUCAG
rnacentral:misc_RNA from 1 species